rnacentral:lncRNA from 1 species
UACGGGGAGAAGAGCGUCUACUUCGACCUGGACGACAUCGCCAACACGACGGGGCAGUGGGACCUGUACGGCAGCGACGCGGCGUCGCCCUACAACGGCCUGCAGAGCAAGUUCUUCAACACCUUCGCCGCGCCCUUCACCAAGCGAGGGCUGCUGCUCAAGGUCCUGCUGCUCGGCGGCGGCUCCCUGCUCGCCUACGUCAGCGCCACCGCCUCCCCCGACCUGCUCCCCAUCAAGAAGGGGCCCCAGCUGCCCCCCACCCCGGGGCCACGUGGCAAGAUCUAAGUAGAUCUGCAAUCAAGGCCUUCUUCCUCCUCUCGCCUCGUGCUUGUGUACCAUGGAUCUGAUGGAUUCCCCCCUAUGGCCCUAUCUAUGUCCUCUGUUGAUACUUGAUCUUUGUACUACUUCGUAUCAGUAAUUGGAAAGAUGCUGCUUGCAUGAUGCAUGCAAUUACUACUAGUAGAUCAUUUGCUCUUUG